UACGUAGGCAGCAAGCGUUGUUCGGAAUUACUGGGCGUAAAGAGUGUGUAGGCGGUGCUCCAAGUCUGGUGUGAAAUCUCCCGGCUUAACUGGGAGGGUGCAUUAGAAACUGGAAUGCUAGAGGAUGGGAGAGGUAAGCGGAAUUCCUGGUGUAGCGGUGAAAUGCGUAGAUAUCGGGAGGAACACCUGUGGCGAAAGCGGCUCACUGGACCACAACUGACGCUGAGGCGCGAAAGCUAGGGGAGCAAACAGG
rnacentral:rRNA from 1 species